rnacentral:rRNA from 1 species
CCUACGGGAGGCAGCAGUGAGGAAUAUUGGUCAAUGGGCGAGAGCCUGAACCAGCCAAGUCGCGUGAAGGAUGACGGCCCUACGGGUUGUAAACUUCUUUUGUCAGGGAGCAAUUGGGUCCACGCGUGGGCUUAGCGAGAGUACCUGAAGACAAAGCAUCGGCUAACUCCGUGCCAGCAGCCGCGGUAAUACGGAGGAUGCGAGCGUUAUCCGGAUUUAUUGGGUUUAAAGGUUGCGUAGGCGGAAUAUCCAGUCAGCGGUAAAAAGUCGGGGCUAAACCCCGUAGGGCCGUUGAAACUGAUGUUAUAGAGUGGGCGAGAAGUAUGCGGAAUGCGUGGUGUAGCGGUGAAAGGCAUAG